GUGAAAAUGAUCACACCGAUUGUUAAUGGCGCUAAUGAAUUGCGCGUUGACAUCGGAAGCAUCGUGUAAGGUGUCGUGCAAUCUUCAUAAAAGUGACUGUCGUACUCACCCUUGUACCGGCAAUCUGUUGUUAGGCCGCGAGUAUCGUGAGAGUCGAUUCGUUCGAUCGAAGCUUGUUCCAAGAGUAACGGCGUUGGUGAUCCGUCGGCAGUCGGAUCGAUCGCAUUAUUCAAUCCGCGGCUGUUUGUUUUCGGUCUCACCUCGUAUGUUUAUAAGCAUACGUGAUAAUUGUCCAGAGACGUGCGGGCGUGUUGUGCAUUAGCAAUAGUUGCGGCCACCGGAUCAAAGUUUAUCGCUCGUCGCGACGAGAUGAAGGUAUCACAUGAAGGCGUCCGCGCGUACCCAUCGUUCGAGAGCCGUCCGUCGGCUAACGUCAUUGCGUUGAGUGGCGAGUGAGGCGGAUCGCAGCUCGCUUGUCGUUUCGCGUCAAUUUCCCGUCGUCGCGACAUAAUGAAUUGCGCAUCGCGCACAUCUGAAGUGUCUGGCAAGUGCAAGGGGCCGCGCGAUCUUUAUAUCAAUGUGAUUAGAGCGCCGUAUCUACCGGCAUCUUGUUAGAUCGCGAAUUUCGUUCGAUCGAUGCUUCGUUGUGCGAGCGACGGCGUCAGUGAUCCAUCGUCCGUCGGUUUGAUCGCGUUAUUCAACUCGCGGCUGUUUAUUUUCGGUCUUAAUUCAUGUGUUUACAAGCGUACGUGAGAACGCGAACGUAAUAAUCGUCCGGAGACGCAUGUGUUGUGUGUUAGCAACGGCUGCAACCAAGCCGUCGAGAGGUUAUGUUACGCCGCGCGGCGCGGCGUGAAGGAGACCGCGCGUACUCCUGAGCUCGAGAUUCGUCGUCUACCACGUUAACCUCCUCGACGGCGCGGGCGUCACGGGUGACGAGUGGAUGCGGAUAACGUUUUCGUCGUUGCACGUUAACUUCUCGUUGUCGCAAUCUAAUGAACUGCGGCGCCACUCCCUCGUGCACGGGAGUGACGUCCUGGAUGUCGCGCAAUCGAGGUGAUUAUUGCUAAGUAUUAGAGUCUUCGUAAGUGAGUGCUAGUGUCAUAAAAAAACAAGCUGGAACAAGAGAGGAAAAGGAGGAUCUGGGAGGCACCAGGCAACGGCAGAGCAACCACGAAAUAUAAGCUGUGUUAUAACUCCGUUGCUGUGCAUCGGUCCGAGUGAGGCUUGAAAACAGCCAGAUUUAUGAACGGACUUCCGGCCAAAUAAACACGCCUUGCGGGUGUGAGGAUGGCUUCGGCAUCCGCGGAAUUCGCGAGUGACAGGAUGCGA